GGGGAAUAUUGGACAAUGGAGGGAACCCUGAUCCAGCCAUGCCGCGUGUGUGAAGAAGGCCUUAUGGUUGUAAAGCACUUUAAGCGAGGAGGAGGCUCUUUUGGUUAAUACCCAAGAUGAGUGGACGUUACUCGCAGAAUAAGCACCGGCUAACUCUGUGCCAGCAGCCGCGGUAAUACAGAGGGUGCGAGCGUUAAUCGGAUUUACUGGGCGUAAAGCGUGCGUAGGCGGCUCUUUAAGUUAGAUGUGAAAACCCAGGGCUCAACCCUGGGAGUGCAUUUAAAACUGAAGGGCUCGAGUGCAGGAGAGGUAAGUGGAAUUCCUAGUGUAGCGGUGAAAUGCGUAGAUAUUAGGAGGAACACCAGUGGCGAAGGCGACUUACUGGACUGUAACUGACGCUGAGGCGCGAAAGCGUGGGGAGCAAACA
rnacentral:rRNA from 1 species